UACGUAGGUGGCAAGCGUUGUCCGGAUUUAUUGGGUUUAAAGGGUGCGUAGGCGGCUCUAUAAGUCAGUGGUGAAAUCCGGCAGCUCAACUGUCGAUGUGCCAUUGAUACUGCAGAACUUGAGUACAGACGAGGUAGGCGGAAUUGACGGUGUAGCGGUGAAAUGCUUAGAUAUCGUCAAGAACACCGAUAGCGAAGGCAGCUUACUAGACUGUAACUGACGCUGAUGCACGAAAGUGUGGGGAUCAAACAGG
rnacentral:rRNA from 1 species